UACUUAUCCUAGACUGGCUCUUCCAGGA
rnacentral:piRNA from 1 species